rnacentral:rRNA from 1 species
AGAGUUUGAUCCUGGCUCAGGACGAACGCUGGCGGCGUGCUUAACACAUGCAAGUCGAACGAAAAGACGGAAAGAGCUUGCUCUUUUCAGAAUUGAGUGGCAAACGGGUGAGUAACACGUAAACAACCUGCCUUCAGGAUGGGGACAACAGACGGAAACGACUGCUAAUACCGAAUAAGUUCCAAGAGCCGCAUGGCCCAUGGAAGAAAAGGUGGCCUCUACCUGUAAGCUAUCGCCUGAAGAGGGGUUUGCGUCUGAUUAGCUGGUUGGAGGGGUAACGGCCCACCAAGGCGACGAUCAGUAGCCGGUCUGAGAGGAUGAACGGCCACACUGGAACUGAGACACGGUCCAGACUCCUACGGGAGGCAGCAGUGGGGAAUCUUCCGCAAUGGGCGAAAGCCUGACGGAGCAACGCCGCGUGAGUGAAGAAGGAUUUCGGUUCGUAAAGCUCUGUUGUUAGGGAAGAAUGGAUAUGUAGUAACUAUACAUAUAAGAGACGGUACCUAACCAGAAAGCCACGGCUAACUACGUGCCAGCAGCCGCGGUAAUACGUAGGUGGCAAGCGUUGUCCGGAAUUAUUGGGCGUAAAGCGCGCGCAGGUGGUUUAAUAAGUCUGAUGUGAAAGCCCACGGCUCAACCGUGGAGGGUCAUUGGAAACUGUUAAACUUGAGUGCAGGAGAGAAAAGUGGAAUUCCUAGUGUAGCGGUGAAAUGCGUAGAGAUUAGGAGGAACACCAGUGGCGAAGGCGGCUUUUUGGCCUGUAACUGACACUGAGGCGCGAAAGCGUGGGGAGCAAACAGGAUUAGAUACCCUGGUAGUCCACGCCGUAAACG